rnacentral:rRNA from 1 species
CUACCAUGCAGUCGAGGGGCAGCGGGAGUGUUGCACUCGCCGGCGACUGGCGCACGGUGUGCGGAACGCGUAUCGAAUCUGCCUCUAUCUGGGGGAUACCCCAUGGAAACGUGGAAUAAUACCCCAUAGUAUUACUUUAUCGCAUGAUUUAGUAAUUAGGGAAUUUCGGAUAGAGAUGACGAUGCGUAUCAUUAGCUAGUAGGUAAGGUAACGGCUUACCUAGGCAACGAUGAUUAGGGGUCCUGAGAGGGAGAUCCCCCACACUGGUACUGAGACACGGACCAGACUCCUACGGGAGGCAGCAGUGAGGAAUAUUGGACAAUGGUCGAAAGACUGAUCCAGGCAUGCCGCGUGCAGGAUGACUGGCCUAUUGGGUUGUAAACCUGGUUUUAUACGGGAAGAAAAACACUACGUGUUUGUGACUGACGGGUACCGUAAGAAUAAUGCCGGCUAACUCCCGGUGCAGCAGGCGCUGUAAUACGGAGGGUGCCACGCGGUUAUUCCCGGAAUCAUUUGGGUGUUAAAGGGUUCCGCAAGCGGGGGUAUUAAGGUCACGCGGUGUAAAGUUUCAGCUCCACUGUUGAAA